rnacentral:tRNA from 5 species
GCCGGGUUAGCUCAGUGGUAGAGCAACCGCCUUGUAAGCGGUUGGUCGUGGGUUCAAUCCCCACACCCGGCUCCA